UACGUAGGGAGCAAGCGUUGUCCGGAAUCAUUGGGCGUAAAGCGCGCGUAGGCGGCCCUGUAAGUCCGCUGUGAAAGUCAAAGGCUCAACCUUUGAAAGCCGGUAGAUACUGCAGGGCUAGAGUCCGGAAGAGACGAGUGGAAUUCCUGGUGUAGCGGUGGAAUGCGCAGAUAUCAGGAGGAACACCAGUGGCGAAGGCGGUUGCCUGGGCUUGCUGACGCUGAUGCGCGAAAGCGUGGGGAGCGAUCCGG
rnacentral:rRNA from 1 species